AGCAGCCGCGGUAAUUCCAGCUCCAAUAGCGUAUAUUAAAGUUGUUGCAGUUAAAAAGCUCGUAGUUGAAUUUCGGAAUCUGUCCGUUGGUCGGGCUUAAUUGUCCGUACUGAUGUGGUGGGUUCUUACCUUCUGAAUAACCAGCAUGCCAUUAAUUUAGUGUGUUGGGGAAGCAGGACUAUUACCUUGAAAAAAUUAGAGUGCUCAAAGCAGGCUAGUGCCUGAAUACAUUAGCAUGGAAUAAUAAAAUAGGACGGCAUGGUUCUAUUUUGUUGGUUUCUAGGAUCACCGUAAUGAUUAAUAGGGAUAGUUGGGGGCAUUAGUAUUCAAUUGUCAGAGGUGAAAUUCUUGGAUUUAUUGAAGACUAACUUCUGCGAAAAGCAUUUGCCAAGGAUGUUUUCAUUAAUCAAGAACGAAAGUUAGGGGAUCGAAGACGAUCAGAUACCGUCGUAGUCUUAACCAUAAACUAUGCCGACUAGGGAUCGGACGAUGUUAAUUUAUAAUGACUCGUUCGGCGCCU
rnacentral:rRNA from 1 species